UAAUACAGAGGCCUCAAGCGUUAGGCGGAAUCACUGGGCUUAAAGCGUGUGUAGGCGGACUUCUAAGUACCUUGUGAAAUCCCACGGCUUAACUGUGGAACUGCUUGGUAUACUGGUUGUCUUGAGCCACUUAGGGGUUACCGGAACAAAUGGUGGAGCGGUGAAAUGCGUAGAUAUCAUUUGGAACGCCAAUGGUGAAAACAGGUAACUGGGAGUGUGCUGACGCUGAGACACGAAAGCCAGGGGAGCGAACGGGAUUAGAUACCC
rnacentral:rRNA from 1 species